GGAGGGGUGACGGAGCGGCCGAACGUGCCGGUCUUGAAAACCGGUGUCCGGGAAACUGGACCGUGGGUUCAAAUCCCACCCCUCCGCCA
rnacentral:tRNA from 1 species